rnacentral:lncRNA from 1 species
CUUGGACUGAGUGUGCCUUUAAAGUUCUUUCCUAAUUCUUCUCCCUUUGCCAUUUAGGCCUUGCUAGAUAAUGGGGCAACUAAGUGGAACAGGCCUAAAACCAGGAAGACUCAUCUCCUAAGUUCAAAUCUGACCUCAGAUACUUAGCAGCUAUGUGAUUCUAGGAAUAAUCAGACCAAAAGGGAAAAAAAAUCAUGAGGAAAGAAAAAGCAAAAAAAAGAUUCCAUCUUGCCAAGGGUAGCCAAAUCUUCAUCUUAGUUAUAACUCCAGCUAUGGCACAGUGGAAAGAGUUUGAAAUCAGAAGACCAGCCUUAUCUGUAAAAUGGAUAUAAUGACAUCAGUCCUAGCUCCACUAUAACACGGAAAUGAUCAGAUGACCAAAUUCAUGGAAAUACAUUGAGACAUAAAAGCAUCAUUUUGUAAAGGUCUAUCCAUUUACAACACAAGGUACCACUCUACAGAAAGCACUCCAUCACUAAUACAAGUUUGAACUGCACUUGAAGUUCUCCUUGAGUGGCCUUCAUGAUUGUUCUUCUAGAAUCAUCUCCAUCUCUGCUUGACUGGACAAUGGUAAACAGAUUUUUUUAAAGAAAAUAGGACAAUUCAUUUGUACCAGACCUAUGGAAUCAUAAGACAAAGAUACAUUUGCCUGUUGUUUUAACUACCACUUUUAAAUAUUUCUGAGAUUAUGGUUUGCUAAAUCCUUUCUCUUGUCCUCAUCU